GUGGGGAAUAUUGGACAAUGGGCGCAAGCCUGAUCCAGCCAUGCCGCGUGAGUGAUGAAGGCCUUAGGGUUGUAAAGCUCUUUCAGUAGGGAAGAUAAUGACGGUACCUACAGAAGAAGCCCCGGCUAACUUCGUGCCAGCAGCCGCGGUAAUACGAAGGGGGCUAGCGUUGUUCGGCUUUACUGGGCGUAAAGCGCACGUAGGCGGAUUGGUCAGUUAGAGGUGAAAUCCCGAAGCUCAACUUCGGAACUGCCUUUAAUACUGCCAGUCUCGAGUCCGGAAGAGGUGAGUGGAACUCCUAGUGUAGAGGUGGAAUUCGUAGAUAUUAGGAAGAACACCAGUGGCGAAGGCGGCUCACUGGUCCGGUACUGACGCUGAGGUGCGAAAGCGUGGGGAGCAAACAGGAUUAGAAACCCGUGUAGUCC
rnacentral:rRNA from 1 species